rnacentral:rRNA from 1 species
UACGGAGGGGGCGAGCGUUAUUCGGAAUUAUUGGGCGUAAAGGGCGCGUAGGCGGCUGUACAAGUCAAAGGUGAAAUCCCUCGGCUCAACUGAGGAACUGCCUUUGAAACUGUACGGCUUGAGGCCGGGAGGGGGUAGCGGAAUUCCCAGUGUAGCGGUGAAAUGCGUAGAUACUGGGAGGAACACCAGUGGCGAAGGCGGCUACCUGGACCGGCAUUGACGCUGAGGAGCGAAAGCCAGGGGAGCAAACGGG